AGUACUGAAUCGGGAAGGAGAAAGGACAGGAGCAGGGAACUGAAGAAAAUUGUACAGUCAUCAUAAUGAAUGCUAUUUUAACAGUCUUUGUUCAAGAACUGUUUACAGGGCUCUCAAAUGUUUUAAUGGGAAAUGAGUCUGUAUGACCUCAUCACUUACUCUGGUAUGGAGGCUGGAGAAUAUGAAGGCUAGAUAUCUCAGCUAUCAAAUAAUGAUCUGAGGAUAAAUAUCCUCAUAAAGUCUAAUUAUAAUGGACUUUCAGAGAUCAGAUUUUUGCUCCUGUUAGCUAAUUGAAAGUAAGUGGGAAAAAAAAAUAGAUCUUUCUUUCAUGCACUUGUUAGAAACUCUCCUUCGUUUGUAUGAAAUCAGGAACCUUGAUGACGACUCCAGACAGAGGCUUCUGGGAACCAAAUAUGUUAACUUUGGAUAAAAUAUGAGAUACGUUUCAGAUAUUAUGUUUUGUAGCACGAGCUUUAUAUAUUAUUCUAGUAAUGAUGUAUGAAAAUACAGUAUGUAUAACUAUAAUGAUCAGCAUUACAGUGAGAAAUGCACAGAACUCCAGACUAGUAUUUUUCCUUUCAGUUAUGGAUUUCGUCUCCAAAUUUGACAUCAGAACUGUUCAGCAACCAAUUAGAGCUUCAUUAUAAUCUUAAAAAUGACAUAUUUAUUUACAACCUGGUAAAAGACAUUUUGGAGCAUUUCCCUUAGAAUUUGUAUCCUCUUGUGAUUGUUUUCCAUCAGUCCAGUUAAACGGCAACAGUAGAGUCAGGCAAGGAGCAAUGUAAAUCCAGAAUGGAAUACAUAUUGAUACAACCUCAUGGAAAUCUUAAUGGACCAUCAACGAAAGCUGCCCACACAGUAUAAUCACUUCAGUAUUUGUCAUUUCCACCAUUCAUUCUGUGUGGCACCUGUUUGCCUGAUAGUACUGAAUCAGCAUCAGUCAUAAGGAAGCACAAACCUAUACUUAUCGGUGGUCUUCAGAGCACCAAUUGCGCAGGAGAUUCCUCUGAAUUCAUUGCAACAUGUUCAUAUACGUAAGAAGGAUUCUGGUUAUCAGAAGGUUUCACGUUGGUGGUGUUGCCAGCACUCAGGCUUGUUACUCCUGGAAUAAGUGCACAUGGUGAAGCAGAAAAACCUGACAUCCACGCUGAUGUUGUGGCUAACUGAAGUAUCCCCAGUGACACAAUUAGAUGUGACAUCCACCUGAGAUGAAAAUACUCAUCAUCCCCUUUUGCCCUCUUUUGGGUCAGUUUGCUCCAGAAUUCUUAGCCACUUGGAGGUGGUGUCUGAGCAGAACGUAGCACAGGUGCACAGAAGCAAACAGCACUCCUUCUGACCUUUCUCAUCCUGAAGCAAAUAAAGCACAGAAUUACAG
ensembl:lncRNA